ACUCCUACGGGAGGCAGCAGUGGGUAAUCUUGGGCAAGGGGGCAAAGCGGGAUCCAGCCAAUGGGGGUGAGUGAAGAAGGUCUUCGGAUUGUAAAGCACUUUAAGUUGGGAGGAAGUGCAGUAAGUUAAUACCGUGCGGUUU
rnacentral:rRNA from 1 species